rnacentral:rRNA from 1 species
GAUGAACGCUGGCGGCGUGCCUAAUACAUGCAAGUCGAGCGAACAGAUGAGGAGCUUGCUCCUCUGACGUUAGCGGCGGACGGGUGAGUAACACGUGGAUAACCUACCUAUAAGACUGGGAUAACUUCGGGAAACCGGAGCUAAUACCGGAUAAUAUAUUGAACCGCAUGGUUCAAUAGUGAAAGACGGUUUUGCUGUCACUUAUAGAUGGAUCCGCGCCGCAUUAGCUAGUUGGUAAGGUAACGGCUCACCAAGGCAACGAUGCGUAGCCGACCUGAGAGGGUGAUCGGCCACACUGGAACUGAGACACGGUCCAGACUCCUACGGGAGGCAGCAGUAGGGAAUCUUCCGCAAAGGGCGAAAGCCUGACGGAGCAACGCCGCGUGAGUGAUGAAGGUCUUCGGAUCGUAAAACUCUGUUAUUAGGGAAGAACAAAUGUGUAAGUAACUAUGCACGUCUUGACGGUACCUAAUCAGAAAGCCACGGCUAACUACGUG